rnacentral:rRNA from 1 species
UACGUAGGGUGCAAGCGUUCGUCCGGAAUUAUUGGGCGUAAAGAGCUCGUAGGCGGUCUGUCGCGUCGGCUGUGAAAACUCGGGGCUCAACCCCGAGCCUGACUUCUGAUACGGGCAGACUGGAGGUAUGCAGGGGGAAGGAACGGUAAUUCCUGGUGUAGCGGUAGAAAUGCGCAGAUAUCAAGGAGAACACCGGUAGGCGAAGGCGGUUCUGCUGGGCAUUACCUGACGC